rnacentral:rRNA from 1 species
CUACGUAGGGGGCGAGCGUUGUCCGGAAUGACUGGGCGUAAAGGGCGUGUAGGCGGCCGAUUAAGUCUGGAGUGAAAGUCCCGCUUUCAAGGUGGGAAUUGCUUUGGAGACUGGUUGGCUUGAGUGCGGAAGAGGUAAGUGGAAUUCCCAGUGUAGCGGUGAAAUGCGUAGAGAUUGGGAGGAACACCAGUGGCGAAGGCGACUUACUGGGCCGUAACUGACGCUGAGGCGCGAAAGCGUGGGGAGCGAACAGGAUUAGAUACCCUGGUAGUCCACGCGGUAAACGAUGAAUGCUAGGUGUAGGGGGUAUCGACCCCUCCCGUGCCGGAGUAAACGCAAUAAGCAUUCCGCCUGGGGAGUACGGCCGCAAGGUUGAAACUCAAAGGAAUUGACGGGG